rnacentral:rRNA from 1 species
AAUCAACGCUGGCGGCGUGCCUCAGACAUGCAAGUCGAACGAUUAAAGCUCUCUUCGGAGAGUGCAUAAAGUGGCGCACGGGUGAGUAACACGUAAGUAAUCUACCUUCGAGUGGGGAAUAACGUCCGGAAACGGACGCUAAUACCGCAUAAUGCAGCGGCAUCGCAAGAUGACAGUUGUUAAAGAUUUAUCGCUUGAAGAGGAGCUUGCGGCAGAUUAGCUAGUUGGUAAGGUAAUGGCUUACCAAGGCUACGAUCUGUAACCGGUCUAAGAGGACGGUCGGUCACACUGACACUGAAUAACGGGUCAGACUCCUACGGGAGGCAGCAGUCGGGAAUUUUGGGCAAUGGGCGAAAGCCUGACCCAGCAACGCCGCGUGAAGGAUGAAGUAUUUCGGUAUGUAAACUUCGAAAGAAUGGGAAGAAUAAAUGACGGUACCAUUUAUAAGGUCCGGCUAACUACGUGCCAG